UCCUCAGUAGUAUAGUGGUUAUUAUUCCGGCCUGUCACGCGAGCGACCGGAGUUCGAUUCCCCGCCGGGGAG
rnacentral:tRNA from 1 species